GGGUAGUUUGACUGGGGCGGUCUCCUCCUAAAGAGUAACGGAGGAGCACGAAGGUUGGCUAAUCCUGGUCGGACAUCAGGAGGUUAGUGCAAUGGCAUAAGCCAGCUUGACUGCGAGCGUGACGGCGCGAGCAGGUGCGAAAGCAGGUCAUAGUGAUCCGGUGGUUCUGAAUGGAAGGGCCAUCGCUCAACGGAUAAAAGGUACUCCGGGGAUAACAGGCUGAUACCGCCCAAGAGUUCAUAUCGACGGCGGUGUUUGGCACCUCGAUGUCGGCUCAUCACAUCCUGGGGCUGAAGUAGGUCCCAAGGGUAUGGCUGUUCGCCAUUUAAAGUGGUACGCGAGCUGGGUUUAGAACGUCGUGAGACAGUUCGGUCCCUAUCUGCCGUGGGCGCUGGAGAACUGAGGGGGGCUGCUCCUAGUACGAGAGGACCGGAGUGGACGCAUCACUGGUGUUCGGGUUGUCAUGCCAAUGGCACUGCCCGGUAGCUAAAUGCGGAAGAGAUAAGUGCUGAAAGCAUCUAAGCACGAAACUUGCCCCGAGAUGAGUUCUCCCUGACUCCUUGAGGGUCCUGAAGGAACGUUGAAGACGACGACGUUGAUAGGCCGGGUGUGUAAGCGCAGCGAUGCGUUGAGCUAACCGGUACUAAUGAACCGUGAGGCUUAACCUU
rnacentral:rRNA from 1 species